UACGUAGGGUGCGAGCGUUGUCCGGAAUUACUGGGCGUAAAGAGCUCGUAGGUGGUUUGUCGCGUUGUUCGUGAAAACUCACAGCUUAACUGUGGGCGUGCGGGCGAUACGGGCAGACUGGAGUACUGCAGGGGAGACUGGAAUUCCUGGUGUAGCGGUGGAAUGCGCAGAUAUCAGGAGAAACACCGGUGGCGAAGGCGGGUCUCUGGGCAGUAACUGACGCUGAGGAGCGAAAGCGUGGGGAGCGAACAGG
rnacentral:rRNA from 1 species